rnacentral:rRNA from 1 species
AUUGAACGCUGGCGGCAGGCCUAACACAUGCAAGUCGAGCGGAUGAAGGGAGCUUGCUCCUGGAUUCAGCGGCGGACGGGUGAGUAAUGCCUAGGAAUCUGCCUGGUAGUGGGGGAUAACGUCCGGAAACGGGCGCUAAUACCGCAUACGUCCUGAGGGAGAAAGUGGGGGAUCUUCGGACCUCACGCUAUCAGAUGAGCCUAGGUCGGAUUAGCUAGUUGGUGGGGUAAAGGCCUACCAAGGCGACGAUCCGUAACUGGUCUGAGAGGAUGACCAGUCACACUGGAACUGAGACACGGUCCAGACUCCUACGGGAGGGAGCAGUGGGGAAUAUUGGACAAUGGGCGAAAGCCUGAUCCAGCCAUGCCGCGUGUGUGAAGAAGGUCUUCGGAUUGUAAAGCACUUUAAGUUGGGAGGAAGGGCAGUAAGUUAAUACCUUGCUGUUUUGACGUUACCAACAGAAUAAGCACCGGCUAACUUCGUG